UGCCUGAUAGCUCAGUUGGUUAGAGCGUGGUGCUGAUAAUGCCAAGGCUGCAGGUUUGAUCCCCAUUUGGGACAA